rnacentral:tRNA from 1 species
GGACCUGUAGCUCAGUCUGGAUAGAGCAACUGCCUCCUAAGCAGUAGGUCGCAGGUUCAAAUCCUGCCAGGUCCG